rnacentral:rRNA from 1 species
GGGGUGCUUCGGCACCUAGUGGCGGACGGGUGAGUAACGCGUGAGAAUCUGCCCUUAGGACGGGGACAACAGCUGGAAACGGCUGCUAAUACCCGAUGUGCCGAGAGGUGAAACAUUUAUGGCCUGAGGAUGAGCUCGCGUCUGAUUAGCUAGUUGGUGGGGUAAGAGCCUACCAAGGCGACGAUCAGUAGCUGGUCUGAGAGGAUGAUCAGCCACACUGGGACUGAGACACGGCCCAGACUCCUACGGGAGGCAGCAGUGGGGAAUUUUCCGCAAUGGGCGCAAGCCUGACGGAGCAAGACCGCGUGCGGGAGGACGGCCUAUUGGUUGUAAACCGCUUUUGAUAGGGAAGAAGUACUGACGGUACCUAUCGAAUCAGCAUCGGCUAACUCCGUGCCAGCAGCCGCGGUAAUACGGAGGAUGCAAGCGUUAUCCGGAAUUAUUGGGCGUAAAGCGUCCGUAGGUGGUUGUUCAAGUCUGCUGUUAAAGCGUGCGGCUUAACCGCAUACCAGCAGUGGAAACUGGACGACUAGAGUGCGGUAGGGGUCAGGGGAAUUCCCAGUGUAGCGGUGAAAUGCGUAGAUAUUGGGAAGAACACCGGUGGCGAAAGCGCCUGACUGGACCUGCACUGACACUGAGGGACGAGAGCUAGGGGAGCGAAAGGGAUUAGAUACCCCUGUAGUCCUAGCCGUAAACGAUGGACACUAGGUGUUGCCCGUAUCGACCCGGGCAGUGCCGUAGCCCAACGCGUUAAGUGUCCCGCCUGGGGGAGUACGCUCGCAAGAGUGAAACUCAAGGAAUUGACGGGGGCCCGCA